rnacentral:rRNA from 1 species
UCCUACGGGGCGCAGCAGUGGGGAAUAUUGGGCAAUGGGCGCAAGCCUGACCCAGCAACGCCGCGUGAAGGAAGAAGGCUUUCGGGUUGUAAACUUCUUUUGUCAGGGACGAAGCAAGUGACGGUACCUGACGAAUAAGCCACGGCUAACUACGUGCCAGCAGCCGCGGUAAUACGUAGGUGGCAAGCGUUAUCCGGAUUUAUUGGGUUUAAAGGGUGCGUAGGCGGGCUUUUAAGUCAGCGGUAAAAAUUCGGGGCUCAACCCCGUCCGGCCGUUGAAACUGGGGGCCUUGAGUGGGCGAGAAG